ensembl:misc_RNA 7SK 7SK RNA
AGAUGUGAGGGUGAUCUGGCUACAACAUCUGUCAUCCCGUUGAUCAUCAGGGUUGAUUCGGCUGAGCUGGCUGGGUAGGCAGGUGUCCCCCUUUUCCCUCACCAUUCCCUGUGCGUCCCUCCCCAAGCUGUGCUCUUGAUGGAAGAGGAUGGGCCUUCCCGCCAAGGAGAGGACAGGUCUUCGGUCAAGGGUAUAUGAGUAACUGAGCUCUCCUGCUAGAACCUUCAAAGAAGCUCUCGGACUCUCGGGAACCAAUAUGGCGGCAUAGGUAAACACCGGAGUUUGCUGCCUC